GGACCAAACAAUGAAGAAUUAUUACUGAAGCAGAAUGGGGUGAUGCUGGGUUGGCUGCACCCUCUCCGCUCUGCGGGAGCCUGCAGGGCCCAAGCAGGGAUGGCACUCUGAAACACAGCAUGAAAAUCUCAGCUCUGCCAGGGAGGAACUGACUCCAAAUCAAGCAAAUAAAGCCCUGAGAGGCUUUUAUAGGGUGAAAUCACUGUGUUUGCUUUCUGAACAGGAGCUGGAGGAGAGCGUGAUUCAGGCUCUUGGAGGAACAACACAAGAGCCCAAAUCCCCAAAUUACCUUAAAAAAUGGUGAGACAUUCAGAAAUCCUACACUAGUGCCUCUCUUCCCUGGCUUUCCCAUUAUUGAGCCAAAAGUUCCCACUCUGCAGCUCUGUUCUGCAGCCCUGGCAGUGGAGGGGUCCUUUCCCUGACAUACCAAAGCUGAGAUUCUGGCUUAAUCUCAUGACUUUGUGAGCUGGGGCUUGCAGAGAAACAGCAAGUAACGGGAGAAAAAGUAAGAGUUAGUAGGAGUGGAUUAGCGUUUAUUCUCCUCUCUCCACCUCACAGCUUCACAGGGCUGGUCUCCUUUCUGCCCCAAGUCUGGUUCCCAUUGCAAGGAGAAAUAAUGGCGUUAUCCAGGCAGGAUGGCUCCCCAUGGGGUAAAGCACAUCAAACUGAACAAGCAAGAAGAAUAUUUUAAAACAGAAUAAAAAAUAUAAGCGAAAGGCAGAAACUCCCAAGAAAAAUAUCUGUCAGCUCUCUUCUCUGCUGGAAACUCAAAGCCCUCCUCAAGCGGCACAAAUGAAGGUAAUUUCAAUUAGAACAGCUUUGCAUAUAUUUCAUUCUGCUUCAAAAACGACAACAGCCUCGAACAAUCAACACACUGAAGCCUGGUGGGGAAAUAUAGCUAAUUUCUGAGGAGGUCUGUUUGCUUGCUGUUGUCACCUGUGGGCUGGGUGCCAGGCAUUGAGCAUCGGCACCGCAGCCCCGGGACGGUGCUGGGAGGUGAUGGAGUUGGGGUGGUGCCUGCUGACUCCAACCAAAAUGGGCCAUGCUGUCAAAACGAGAGCAGGAAAAGUAAAAUUACUGCAGCAGAAGAGUCUUUGUGAAAUUUGUUUGAGCAAAUUAAGCAGAAUUUCCUUUUCCAUUUGGGAGUUUGACUCAGCACUGCUUUCAUGUUGCGCUUUUGUAGUUCUCGUGCCACCUGCCAUGACAGCACCCUUCUAAUAGAAAAGAACAGAGGAAGCAGCUCCAGCAGCCAAGCCAUCAGCUCCUUGCAUUUCUGUCUAAAAUCUCCCCAGAUCGAGUAUAUUAAAAAAUGAUUGCAAACCUCAUUUUCUCUGCUAAAUCAGAGGGAAUUCUGCAAUAAAACGUUUUGCCUCGACACACUGGAGGUCUGCAAUUUUCUGAAAAGGAGCAUUUUCCUAAGUUUGUCUUUGGCUUUGCGGUGUUCAGGAAGUAUUGCAUUUGCUCCAUUCAGAACAAAAUUACAUUUCGAAAUGUCAGCCUGAAGAAGAGUUUGCCCGUGAAAAGCAACUAUUUCUUCAAGCUGUACCAGUUGCCCUAAUAAAAGCUAUUACCUCACCCCACAAUCCUUGCCUCCCUUACAGCCUUCACCCAUUGCGGUGAAACCAGAGCUCCCACUGCAGCAUUUACUGUAAAACAGAGAUGUGGGGUUUCCGGCAGCUCUGCUUCUAACAGAUGCUCUUAAGGGCGGUAUCUGAUGCUGCACAACACUAACAUAUGAAUUCCUGCAUCUCAGGCUGUUUCAGUGGUGGCCACAGUGCUGCUGAUGAAUUGAAAAUAUAUAUAUAUUUUUUUUCUUCUGUAAGAGCAGAAUACCCAGAGUGGAGGAAUCCAAAGUAUUCACAGCUCAAAAGGGAUAACUCAGUUAUUGGGAAGACUUGUCUGAAGAAAAGCUGCACUUUAUGGCCAUGGGCAGGGAGAAGGCAGGUCUGCUAUACUUCCUUAACCUAAAUGUGAAUAAAUGGAUAACUAACCAAUUCAGUGCCCACGGCCAUCUCGGACACUUGGUCUUUUUGUGCUUUUUUCCCCACUCUCCACCUGACCCUGUCUUUCCCAGCACAUGGCACAGGCUGCCCAGGGAGGGGGUGGAGUCACCACUCCUGGAGGUGUCCAAGAACCAUGGAGAUGUGGCAUUGAAGGAUGCGGUUUUGUGGUAUGGUGGUGAUGGGCUGAUGGUUGCACUAGGUGAUCUUAGUGGUCUUUCCAACCCUAAUGAUCCUAUGGGUCUACGGGCACUGCACUGUGCUGGUGUCUGUGGGGACUUUGCCCAUGGCCGAGUCCCAGGUCAGCUCCUGUCCCCACAAAUGGGGUUCAGGGCAGGGCAAGAGGAGGCCAAGCCCAUGGUGUGUCUGUGGAUGCUCUCCCACACUCAGCUGUGUCCAUCUCAGGGGCGUUCCCGGGGGUCCCCCUGCUUGGUGGCCAUCCCCACCUGCUCCCUGCUGGGUGUCCUGCCCGAGCACACAGCAUUUCCUGCACCCACAGUCUGCUCUAUCGAGGAUGCUUAACAGCAAAUACGCAGCCCGCCUUGUCACAAACAGACCUGAGCACAACUUCUCACCAGUCCUCUGUGCAAAAGCAGCUUCACUGCAGUAUUUAUAACCUUUACAAUUUUAAUUUAAACAUUGACAAAACCAUGUUACUUUCUAAUUAAAUCCCAUUUUCUCCCAGGGAUUUUAAUUUCCAAGUAAUUUAUCAGAUUUAAGGAUCCUCAAAACGUUUUGCAUGUUUUCCUCUCUAACCUGCCAUGCCCGCUGACUUAUUUUUCCUAUUUGCUAGCAGGAGGAUUCAUUAGUCAUUAAGCGAGUGGGUGGGUUGGGGGGGGAGCAGAAAUGGUUAGUGAUGAUGAAAACACGAAAUCAGAGCUGUAAGAAGCAUAUGUUGGGAUCGCAAUCCUGACACCUCUGUGUCUCAGCAAAGCAGCUAGUAAUUGUACCGUAAUGAAAUGUUCUUGUUUGAUAACCAGUUAAUUAGAGAAGACAAUUAUUCCGAACCCCGCUGACGCCCACGAGCAGCUCCGUGUCGUGCAGGCACAGAGUGACAGCGGGAGCUGUUAUCGGUAACCUCUGUUCCCAGCCAUCUAACAGCAACACUGCUCACUGAGCCCGGAGAGGAGCGAGAGGGACCCACACUCUGCCCCAGACCCAUUCUCCUCCUCCAUGCAGGGGGUGCCUUGGUUUUACAUCGUCAGUGUCCACUGGGUGAACAGCCCCCUGCUGCAAGCCAGGUGGAGUUUGGGGCAUUUUGCUUCUAAAGGGAGAUAGGGGCUGGGGCUGGAGCUCGAUGAUCUUCAAGGUCCCCUCCAACCUGAGCUGUCCUGUGAUUCUCUGAUAGACCGUGAGGAGAGAAAAGCUGACAGGCAGAGGGACCUAACUAAGCAAAGGACUCCACUGACUUAGACAGACCAGAAGGAACCACAGCCUCCAAAUGUGACACUGUAAAGAAGCAGGCAGUGACCGAUCCUCCGCAGAUAGGAAAAGAGGCAAUGAGCUUAAACUGUAGCAAGGGAAAUGUUGGCUAAGCAAGAGCAGAGCAUUCCUAGCAGUAAGGAUAAUUAAGCACUGGAAGAGAUUGCCUGGGGAGAUGUGUAAUCUCCACCACUGAAGGUUUAAGAACAGAUUAGGCACACAUCCAUCAAGAAUGGCUUAAGUAGUGCUGAUCCUGACUUCAGGCAGCAGUAUGGUCUGGCUGACCUCUUAAGUCUCUCCUUGCCCUCCUUUCUAUGAUUCCAUGACUUUUUCCCCCAAAAAGUAUACAUUUGGAUUUUAUUCUGCUUGUAAUUCUGGAGGCUUUUUUUCUUGUAACCAUUAUAUACUUUCCUUGAAGUUAUCUCUUGGGAUCAUCACAAUUUAAGGCUUACUUAUACGAUGACUUGGGAGUACUUCCUUGCUGCACCCCACCACCUGCUGCUUUGCAUGCAGCCUCAACACCUCCAUCGGGAGUGUAUGUAACAAAUGCAGCCACGCCAUACUCCCAUUCCCACCCAGCUCUUCCCCAAGCCAUUGCAUCCCCCUCAGCAUCCCUCCCGCUCCCUUCUUGGGAAGGGCUUAACCCUCUCCCAUUACAAUGAGCUAAGCCAAACCACAUUUUUUUGGUGUAAAUAUUAACACAUCUCCUUCUGCCCAGUAGCUGUGCCCUGGAUUGCUAAAGCCUGAGGCCAACAAGCUUGGCCAUGGGAGGCACCUGACCAUGAUGACCAUCAUGAGGUUGGUAAUUAGGUGCUCCAUGUCCCCAGGCUCUGCCAGCUACAGUGUCUGGUGUCCCUGAGGACACCUCCAUGGAAGGCUCUUGCUAUGGAACUGUUCAGGAGAGCUCCUCCCGUACGCUGGUGGAGCAGUGCUGUGAAGCAGUCCUUAGGAGAACUAAUGGAUAGAAACACCCUCAAGCAGCAAUUACCAUAAAGUGUCCCAAACAAUUCCUGCUAUUUUUCCUCUGUCAUCUUGGUACCUGGGUGUAAGCUCCUCCAGAACAGCCCUCAAAGCCCCCAAAAUGAAGCGGAGGAGGAAGGUGACAAAUCCAACCCUUAACUCCAAGGAGGAGGAAAAACACACAAUACACAUCUUCCCCAGCUCUCAUUUUGCUCCUCACGCUUUUGGAACUGCUUCUGGAAGCAUUUCUGCCUUUUCACAUCUUCCUGAUCACUACCCUGAUCUCCACAGAUCUCUCCUGACAUCGUUUGGUGCUUUCAUUCUUCUCCAGUACACGACGCUUCUUGGCACUCAGAAGAUGCUAAAACUGGGCUCCUUCCAGCCCCUCGCUGCCAGGCGUUGGGAAGCUGCCAGCAGCUCCUGGCUCCUGCACCGACAGCCCUGGAGCAACGCUGGAAGCGGGCAGUUUGCCGGCUAUGCUGCAUGCAGACCCCACAGGACCUCCCCACUGUGAUGGCUCUGCCAUGAUACAGCCUUCCAGCUGGCCCCAGACCUGUCUGUUCCGUAGAUCUACGUAGUGUCCUGUCACCAGGUGAUGGAUCAGGUUCACCGAGCAGAUGGAGCUGAUUAGAUGGGUGAUCUAUUAUUUUCUGCUGAGCGAGUAAUUCUUCUGUUAGGUAAUUUAUCCCUGGAGUCUGCAUGCUUUGUUAUUCUCAAGGCUGUGCAUUUGUAUGGGAAAAUCACGUAUGCAUUUUGCCAUGGAGCAGCUUUGCAUGGCUGGGCCAGUGUAAGCAUCGUGAGAUCGCAUGUGCUCACCCCUGUGCCCUUGGUGGGUCCCCAGACUCUUCUCAUGCUCAGGCCCAGCAGCCCUUUUCAACCUCUUUGGACAAUGCCGUCCUACAGAAAUAACACGGAGCAGGGGAUUCUGGAGAGUCGAGCCGGGCCGGGAGCUGCGGGCGGCUUACAAUGCCAGGUACCCCACUGGAUGAUAAUGGCUGCAUUAGCAUUUCGCUCUCCACCGAAGUCUGAGCUAUCUCUACAGGAACAGCUGCUAAACUAUUUGCAAAGUUCAAAGACUCGUGCACAGGGAAGAAAAAAAAGCCCAUAUCUGAAAUGGUCUACAUGCCUGCAAAGCUGUGGGGAAAAGCCCAGGUCUCCUUGCUAAACCUGCU